rfam:Planctomycetes bacterium RIFOXYD12_FTLL_42_12 rifoxyd3_full_scaffold_14514_curated, whole genome shotgun sequence.
CCGUGCUAGAUGGGGAGCUAGCGGUUCCUUGUAACCUGCAACCCGCUAUAGCAGGAUCGAUCGCUUUUUGGAGGACCUACGGACUAUUAGUUCUAUCUAUGUAAGUGGUGUUGAAGGCCGGGUCUCAUGCAAUAAGAGAUGAUGCGAACCUGGUCAGGUGCGGAAGCAAGCAGCCAUAAGCAAUUGUCCUUAUGUGCCGUGAGCAAAUCUGGCCUGAGCUUACUGCAUGGAUAAGCUGAUGGAAAGGGGGACGAAAAAAAGUGCACGG